rnacentral:pre_miRNA from 14 species
UUAUUACAUCUCCAGGCUUCUUCCAUUUAAUUUUGGAGACUGCGCCUGGGUGCCUAUAUCGGCGCAGUCUCCAAAAUUAAAUGGAAGAAGCCUGGAGAUGUAAU